rnacentral:rRNA from 1 species
GGAAACGUGGAUUAAUACCCCAUAGUCUAUAAACUUCACCUGGAGAUUAUAGUAAACAUUUAUGGCUUAAAGAUGAGUAUGCGUCCUAUUAGUUAGUUGGUAAGGUAACGGCUUACCAAGACGGCGAUAGGUAGGGGUCCUGAGAGGGAGAUCCCCCACACUGGUACUGAGACACGGACCAGACUCCUACGGGAGGCAGCAGUGAGGAAUAUUGGACAAUGGAGGCAACUCUGAUCCAGCCAUGCCGCGUGCAGGAAGACGGCCCUAUGGGUUGUAAACUGCUUUUAUACGGGAAGAACCACAUCUACGUGUAGAUGCUUGACGGUACCGUAUGAAUAAGGACCGGCUAACUCCGUGCCAGCAGCCGCGGUAAUACGGAGGGUCCAAGCGUUAUCCGGAAUCAUUGGGUUUAAAGGGUCCGUAGGCGGGAUAAUAAGUCAGUGGUGAAAGUCUGCAGCUCAACUGUAGAAUUGCCAUUGAUACUGUUGUUCUUGAAUUAUUAUGAAGUGGUUGGAAUGAGUAGUGUAGCGGUGAAAUGCAUAGAUAUUACUCAGAACACCUAUUGCGAAGGCAGAUCACUAAUAAUAUAUUGACGCUGAGGGACGAAAGCGUAGGUAGCGAACAGGAUUAGAUACCCUGGUAGUCUACGCCGUAAACGAUGGUUACUAGCUGUUCGGCUCGAUUGAGAGCUGAGUGGUUAAGCGAAAGUGAUAAGUAACCCACCUGGGGAGUACGUUCGCAAGAAUGAAACUCAAAGGAAUUGACGGGGGCCCGCACAAGCGGUGGAGCAUGUGGUUUAAUUCGAUGAUACGCGAGGAACCUUACCAGGGCUUAAAUGCAGUUGGACAGGUCUGGAAACAGACCCUUCUUCGGACUAAUUGCAAGGUGCUGCAUGGUUGUCGUCAGCUCGUGCCGUGAGGUGUCAGGUUAAGUCCUAUAACGAGCGCAACCCCUGUGGUUAGUUGCCAGCGAGUCAUGUCGGGAACUCUAGCCAGACUGCCAGUGCAAACUGUGAGGAAGGUGGGGAUGACGUCAAAUCAUCACGGCCCUUACGUCCUGGGCCACACACGUGCUACAAUGGUAGGGACAGAGGGCAGCUACCCCGCGAGGGGAUGCGAAUCUUCAAACCCUAUCACAGUUCGGAUCGCAGUCUGCAACUCGACUGCGUGAAGCUGGAAUC